CAGAAAUCAAAGAUCAGUUUCCUUUGCUGUACAAAAGUGUUUAAUAUACAUGGAUUCUUAAGAGUACGGCAGGCACUGCCCAGCUCUACA